AAGACUGGAAUAACUCCGGGAAACCGGGGCUAAUGCCGGAUAACAUUUAGAACCGCAUGGUUCUAAAGUGAAAGAUGGUUUUGCUAUCACUUAUAGAUGGACCCGCGCCGUAUUAGCUAGUUGGUAAGGUAAUGGCUUACCAAGGCAACGAUACGUAGCCGACCUGAGAGGGUGAUCGGCCACACUGGAACUGAGACACGGUCCAGACUCCUACGGGAGGCAGCAGUAGGGAAUCUUCCGCAAUGGGCGAAAGCCUGACGGAGCAACGCCGCGUGAGUGAUGAAGGGUUUCGGCUCGUAAAACUCUGUUAUUAGGGAAGAACAAACGUGUAAGUAACUGUGCACGUCUUGACGGUACCUAAUCAGAAAGCCACGGCUAACUACGUGCCAGCAGCCGCGGUAAUACGUAGGUGGCAAGCGUUAUCCGGAAUUAUUGGGCGUAAAGCGCGCGUAGGCGGUUUCUUAAGUCUGAUGUGAAAGCCCACGGCUCAACCGUGGAGGGUCAUUGGAAACUGGGAGACUUGAGUGCAGAAGAGGAAAGUGGAAUUCCAUGUGUAGCGGUGAAAUGCGCAGAGAUAUGGAGGAACACCAGUGGCGAAGGCGACUUUCUGGUCUGUAACUGACGCUGAUGUGCGAAAGCGUGGGGAUCAAACAGGAUUAGAUACCCUGGUAGUCCACGCCGUAACGAUGAGUGCUAAGUGUUAGGGGGGUUUCCGCCCCUUAGUGCUGC
rnacentral:rRNA from 1 species